AAUCGAACCCGGAGAUAGCUGGUUCUCCUCGAAAUAGCUUUAGGGCUAGCCUCAUACGAGUCUUGCGGAGGUAGAGCACUGAAUUCCUAAGGGGGCGUCAAAGCUUACUAAGGGAUAUCAAACUCCGAAUGCCGUGUAGAUGAUGUAUGGGAGUCAGACGAUCCGAGAUAAGUUGGGUGGUCAAAAGGGAAAGAGCCCAGACCAACAGCUAAGGCCCCAAAAUGUGUGUUAAGUGGAAAAGGAUGUGGGAUUUCGAAGACAACUAGGAUGUUGGCUCAGAAGCAGCCAUUCAUUCAAAGAGUGCGUAAUAGCUCACUAGUCGAGAGGUCCUGCGCCGAAAAUGUCCGGGGCUAAAACACACUGCCGAAGCUUUGGAAUUGAGAAUUCAAUUGGUAGAGGAGCAUUCUUAAAGGGACGAAGCAGUACCGUAAGGAGCUGUGGACUUUUAAGAAGAGAGAAUGCCGGAAUGAGUAGCGAGAGGAAGGUGGGAAUCCUUCCGGCCGAAUAUCUAAGGUUUCCAGAGUAAAGCUGAUCUGCUCUGGGUAAGUCGGGGCCUAAGGCGAGGUCGAAAGACGUAGUCGAUGGAUAACAGGUUGAAAUUCCUGUACUAUCCUGUAACAGAACUGUGGGGACACAGGCAGAGAGCGUGAGCCGGGAAUGGAAAGACCGGUACAAGCGAGGUAGGAGAAGAGUUGGCAAAUCCGCUCUUUAAUCUGAAGACGUGAUGUGGACUGAAAAUAAGUAGGGAAGCACGUGAGCUGACUGUCAAGAAAAGCCGCUAUUGUUUGCAGGAUACCCGUACCGUAAACCGACACAGGUGGAUGAGGAGAGAAUCCUAAGGCCGACGGGAGAAGCAUUGUUAAGGAACUCGGCAAAAUGACUCCGUAACUUCGGGAGAAGGAGUGCCAGUAAGAUGGCCGCAGAGAAUUGGCCCAAGCAACUGUUUAGCAAAAACACAGGUCUAUGCAAAACCGAAAGGUGAGGUAUAUGGGCUGACGCCUGCCCGGUGCUGGAAGGUUAAGGGGAGAGGUUAGCGCAAGCGAAGCUUUGAACUUAAGCCCCAGUAAACGGCGGCCGUAACUAUAACGGUCCUAAGGUAGCGAAAUUCCUUGUCGGGUAAGUUCCGACCCGCACGAAAGGCGUAAUGAUUUGGGCACUGUCUCAACAAUGCACCCGGUGAAAUUGAAAUACCAGUGAAGAUGCUGGUUACCUGCGCCAGGACGGAAAGACCCCAUGGAGCUUUACUCCAGCUUGAUACUGGGAUUCGAUAUUGCAUGUACAGGAUAGGUGGGAGACUUUGAACUCAUGACGCCAGUCGUGAGGGAGUCACUGUUGGGAUACCACCCUUGUAGUAUUGGAUUUCUAACCAGCAGCCGUGAACCGGCUGGGGGACAAUGUCAGGUGGGGAGUUUGACUGGGGCGGUCGCCUCCGAAAGGGUAUCGGAGGCGCUCAAAGGU
rnacentral:rRNA from 1 species